CAGGAAGAUGCGUUCAGUGAGGCUGAACAGUGGGGAUGCUAUCUCACCCUUAACUGACAGGGUCUCAGAAGCACACCCUCCCAGACGCCACAAGCAGUACAGCAAUCACAUCUAGUCCUGCAGCAGCGCUUCUCCAGGGCUCCACCUUGCAAACGACAGGGAAGCCAUGCAGCUCGUUCAGUCCCUGCUGUGGCUAAAAAAGCACUGUCAAACACUUUUUACAAUCCCUCAGUGAACGUUAGCAGCUCUGCACUGCUGCUCAGCUCCUGAAAAUGCACAGAAGUGUGCCACGUAGCCGUUAGCAUGAAAUGCUUCACGUGUUUACAGCUACGCCGUGAUUCCCCCACUCGCGGGAGGAGAGCAAAGCAUCAGCAAGCCUGCAAAGGUAACAGUCUCAUUCCUCAGUCUGCCUAGUGGAAAUGAGUGGGAUCUCAGGUCGAGCCGUGACAAACCCCGGCAGGUAACGUGUCAAGAAAAUCUCUGUACGGAGAAAGUACUCUUUGCUCUGCCACACUGCAGAACUUCUCUGGAACUCAGACGAAUUGUUCCAGAUUAAAAUGGGAACGAAUAAGAGUGGAAUGUUUUCAUCAUUUGCUGAAAGACCUCGUCGUGCUAUGAUCACGGACUGACCUUCAGCCUUGGCCAGGUGACCCCCUGGGAAAGGACAGGCUACAGCCUAGUUCUCAGGUGAUUAUGAAAGUCAAAUAGUUAGAGAGUAACGAAUGUACUGAAAACAGGCUGAAAAACAUUCUGCAGUGAAACCCCACCUUCAUCUCCCUGCUGCUGGAAAAGCAAAAAGCACACAGAUAACGCAAAAAGCACCCAGAUCAAUCUCCCUAUUACUGCUGUGAACAGCCCUUACUGAAAUCUCCACCUCUGUUUUCAGAGAGCAGAAAAAAGACCUUUAGCGUGCUUGCUUUGCAGGGACACUCUAACGUGUUAAGAUAUUAAUUAUCUAACUUAUUAAUGAAUCCCACCACGAGGUGAGAAGGAGAAGCGCGUCACAACCUGUAAUUUGAAGUGUCACUUAAGUCCCUAAUUCAGAUCUAGAGGCCACGUGCCUAACUGUCAGGGCCCCAGGACGGCCCUAACGAGGCCGGCUGCGCUAACGAGGCAACGACUUCCAGGUGCCGCGGCCGGCCGGGCACAGCUGCGCCUCGUCGGGAGCCCCGGGCGGGGCCCGCCCCAAAGCCUCUUAAGCUCCUCCGGAGGCUGCCGGGAGCCACGGGGGAGUUCUUGCGGUUCUCCCCGAGAGACGGAGGGGGCUCCGGUUCCUUUGACCGCUCUUAGCGCUGCUGGAGCUGGGAAGCGGCUGCUGUGAGACCUCUCGCGGUAAGGAUCCGCCCAAACCGGUGUGAGCCGUUUUGGUAGUAACGGGACCGUGCAGGCGGCGAGGGCUCGGGAGCCGCGAGGAUCUCUUCGGCUGGAGCGGGAGGCUGCCGGGCUCCCGGACCCCGCUCUUCCCGGGGCCGGCGUAGGGCUGCCGCCGGGCUUCCCCGGCUGUUUGCUGUCGAUACAGCGUCGCCGCCCGGCUCCCAUCGCGUUUUCGGAGGGAGCUGCCGCUCAGGUCCUUAAGUCCUACCGCAGCCCCGGGGUGCUCUGAGCCUCCCUCUUCCUAGGGUUGUUUGUAGCGGGUGCUUCGGUUCUUCAGGCUCUCAUCGGCUGAGCGAGUGUUCCGGCAGAGCCUCUCCUCGCUCCAAAGCGGUGAGCUCGUGGAAGCGGUGAGCGUUGGGGAGUCAGCUGGAAAGACAGACCGGCCAGGUGGUGGAGUCUCUCUUCCAGUGAGAGAAUGGAAAUGUAUCGAGCUCUGCCUCGGGGUGAAUGAAGAACUAGCGGAGCGCUUGCAUGUGAGGCUCAAGAGGCAGGUAAAUGUGGGUGACAUCACUGUGGGUGGUAUCUCUACUGGCAGGAGACCUGCAGGGUUGAAUGAGGAACUCAAGAUGAACUUGAAGGGGAAAAGGAAGACUUGGGCUAAGGAAGACGAUGACCCUCUCAGUAUCACCUUUGGGAAGGGAGGUCAAGGCUAAUAGAAGUUGGUCAAUGGGAGAAAGGAGACUAGAGCGGGCCUCUGCUUUACAAGGUGGAGGCCCUGGUAAUAGAGUAUGUGCUGAAUGUAUUUUUGGUUUCAGUGGUCGCUGCUGAGUCUGCUCCUUGGGAUCCCUGGAUUCUGGAGGAAAUAGUUUUAGAGGAAGGAUGACUUCCUCUUGAUUGUGGAGGAGCUGGUCAAAGGUCAUUUAGGCAAAGUGGGUGCCAGCACAAAUGCCUGAGCUGGAAAGGGAUAUGCCUGUGUGUGCUGAGAGAGCUGGCAGAAGUGACUGCCACAUAGCUCUCUGUCACGUUUCCUCUGUUCUUUCCUAUAGGAAAGGUGCCCAAAGACUGGAGGAUAGCUGAUGUCACCUCAGCCUUCGGAAAGGGUGAGGAGGAUGGCCUGUGUGUAUGGGAACUGUUGAAUCACAGCCUGAACCUUUGAUUCCUCCACCUGAGGAGAGUGCCGAGUCAGCUGCAGGGGCACAGGUGAAUGCAAUUUCACCUGAGUGAGGGGAAGAGGUGGAGCCUGGCUCCAUCCCUCCUAGAUGCCAUUUAAGGGCUGACUCCCAAGGAGGAAGGAUCUCUGGCUGGAGAUCCUCUUGGAGCCCUUCUGUAAGCCCAGGACAUGGGUAAGAUCUUUAUUUCAUUUCUCCUUUGUAAUGUGUUAUUCUCUGUGGUCCAAUACCUGUAUACCUGUUUGUCAUACAGCUGUGCAACUGUAGGUUGGUUAGCCUCACCUCCCUUCCUGGAAUGGCAAUGUAACAACUGCUUCUGGAUGUCAUCUCCAAGCAACUGGAAGAGAAGAAAUGUCUAAGGAGCGGUCAAGGGUGAAGGCUGCAGGGAGGAUUGGCUGGAAUACGUGAGCUGCUUUUUUCCAGUGCUGGGAUGAAGGAGGUGAGAGAUGGGGACCCACCAGUGGGUCCCCUGCUAGCAGAGGGCUGCCUUCUGUGUGGUUCACAGGUCUUCCUGCAGGUUCAGGGCUGGAGUGAGGUCUGAAGGUGUGUGGCAGGUUCUCUCUUGGAGGAAUGGAACUGAUGAAGUGCUGGAGUUUGGGGUCCUGGUGCAGCUGUUGUCUGAAGGUCCUGAUCCUGGGCUGGGAGGUGCAGCGCUGGAUCUGCUGAAGGAGCAGAGGCAAGAGCUGAAUUUCUGCAUGGCAGCAUCUCUUGAAUGCAGUAGAGCUUCCCCAGCUUGAAGAUGGGUGUGCUAUCCAUAUGCCAGAGGAGUGGCAUCAACUGUCUUGUAAUAAACUUCUCAUUUCCUUUUUUAAGAUGAGCCCACUGCGACCUCUCUGGUUUCUUACUAGUUAACUCAGGAGCGUGCUUCUCAGAGAAACUCUUUGUGUUGAAUCUCAGUGAGUGAGUUACUGUGAACCUUCCUCCCAAACUGAGACUGAACUCGAGCAGAAGUGACAAUAUGUUGUACUCUGCAUGUAGCUCUUUAACAGAAGACAUGGAACUCUGGGGUUGUGCCUUUGUGUUAAAUGUUUGCAUGCAGUGUAUUGCAUCUUCAUGUGAGAGUCUGCAGUUAAUAAACUUUGCUUUUAAUUAGUUAAUGA
ensembl:lncRNA